rnacentral:rRNA from 1 species
GACGUAGGGCGCGAGCGUUGUCCGGAUUUAUUGGGCGUAAAGAGCUCGUAGGCGGCUCAUUGCGUCAACCGUGAAAUCCUGCUGCUCAACGGCAGGUCUGCGGUUGAUACGGGUGGGCUGGAGUUCGGUAGGGGAGACUGGAAUUCCUGGUGUAGCGGUGAAAUGCGCAGAUAUCAGGAGGAACACCGGUGGCGAAGGCGGCAUCCUGGACCGACAUUGACGCUGAAUACCGAAAGCUAGGGGAGCAAACGGG